rnacentral:rRNA from 1 species
AAAUCAGGUAGGACUACCCGCUGAACUUAAGCAUAUCAAUAAGCGGAGGAAAAGAAACUAACAAGGAUUCCCCUAGUAACUGCGAGUGAAGCGGGAAAAGCUCAAAUUUAAAAUCUGGCGGUCUUUGGCCGUCCGAGUUGUAGUCUGGAGAAGUGCUUUCCGCGCUGGACCGUGUACAAGUCUCAAAAAAGAGGACCAAAA